UAGGGAAUCUUCCACACUGGACGCAAGUCUGAUGGAGCAACGCCGCGUGAGUGAAGAAGGUUUUCGGAUCGUAAAGCUCUGUUGUUGGUGAAGAAGGAUAGAGGCAGUAACUGGUCUUUAUUUGACGGUAAUCAACCAGAAAGUCACGGCUAACUACGUGCCAGCAGCCGCGGUAAUACGUAGGUGGCAAGCGUUGUCCGGAUUUAUUGGGCGUAAAGCGAGCGCAGGCGGAAUGAUAAGUCUGAUGUGAAAGCCCACGGCUCAACCGUGGAACUGCAUCGGAAACUGUCAUUCUUGAGUGCAGAAGAGGAGAGUGGAAUUCCAUGUGUAGCGGUGGAAUGCGUAGAUAUAUGGAAGAACACCAGUGGCGAAGGCGGCUCUCUGGUCUGCAACUGACGCUGAGGCUCGAAAGCAUGGGUAGCGAACAGG
rnacentral:rRNA from 1 species